CACCUCCUCUCUCUCUCUGACUAUCCCUCUUUCUCUCUGACCUCGUCACGCUUCUAUCCCUCUGUCCCUCCAUGUCUCUCUCCACCCCCUUUCUCCCUCUAUCUCUCUCUCUGUCCAUCUCUGGCCAGUGGAAGGUGACCCUGCCUGCUCCAUUAGUUGCUUGCAAGUGUUGCUGCCAGUCUGGCUCUCAGCUUCAUCAGAGCACCGUGGCUGGGCACCUGGGUCACACAUCAAUCUGGCCAUCGCAGACGGAGGGAACAAAAGACAGAGGGAAGAGAAGUUGGAGAGAAAGAGACUGAAAGAGACGGUGUGAAGGAGAGACUUUCAAAAACCUUUGUCUUUUGAAAACCUUUGUUUCAAGUUCAAGUUCAGGUUUAUUACCAUAUCUACUGGGGAAAAAAAAUCCAUCAAGCACCAUAGAAACAUCAGCCUGCAUCACUAGCUAAUUACCAGAGCCAAUGCUAGAGCCAAUAAAGGAGCCAUGCGAGGCCACAUGAGGCCUUCAGUCUCCUCCUCACCUGAGCAACCCCUCUCACACUCACAGGAGGCUGUGAAGGAUGCACACCACUCCUCCCUGCCUACCCCCCGCCCCCACUGACUCAUCUCAAACAGCUACAGCAAGGGAAAGGAUGACUGAGUGCUACCAUAACCAGGAGGUUAGCUGUGGAAGGCUGCAGAGCUGCUGGGGAAACAGGCAGAGCAGCAUCAAAUCUUGAUGCUGGGACCACAGCCUGCCCUUUCUACUCCCAUCCACCACAAACUCUCCAACCAUCCAUCCACCAGCUCAUCUAUCCACCAACCCAUCUAUCCACCAAUCCAUCUAUAUCUAUCUAUCUAUCUAUCUAUCUAUCUAUCUAUCUAUCUAUUCAUUCCACCAAACCUGACUUCUACAAAGAUUUUCCAGCCCAUGGCCAUGAAUGUCUGUUCCAAACGGGAGACAUGUCUUCAGAGACACCCAGAGAAAGGAUUAAUGGCACGUCGAAGCUAAUCACCGACAGGCCGCGAUGCUAUCUGCCUGGAUGCCUCACUCUUGUCCUCAGUGUGCCGCUUGUCAGCCAGCCCAAGCACAAGGAAGGUGAAAUAAAUAAAUGCCUCGUUCAUUCUGCGCAAUUUCAUUACCAUAGAGAAAUGUCCGAGUCUGCUGAGGGGCUGAUCAUGAGUAUGGUGUUCUCUCUGGCGGCCUUUUGGAAGAAGGAAAGCGUGACAAACUGAACUGGAUAUGUGGCCUAAUUCUGCUAUGAAUUAUGUUGACAGGUGAGAAGGCAGAAGCAAAAACAAUGGAUACUGGAAUGGGGGUUCGUUUUUACAGUUUUGAGAAAAGAGUGGAAGGUUUCAAAAAAUGUGUUUUAGCAAUUGUGAAAAACUGAAUGCCGGAAUAGAUUUUCAGCACUGUAAAUGAGAAGUAUUGCAGUCUACAGCCUACAAUGUACUUGCCUCACUGAUUAUUGCUGUCCAUUGUUGAUAUGAACCUGCAUUGUUCAGCAACCGGUUUACACUCUGAACUAGCUUAUAUUGGUUGUUGUGAUGACGUACCUCAUAGGCCUGUCCUCACCGCGUCCCAAUGGCGGCCACUACGAACUCUUUCAUAUGCAUUUUACUGUUUAAAUGUAUUCAUGCUCGUAUUACACUCCUGGCCACCCGUUAUAUUCCAUGAAUUCAUUGUUCAUUUCUGACGCUGUGUCUAGUUUGUGUGUGUAUUAACAGAUAGGUGCACAUACUGUUGAAAUUGCACGAAACAUUUCACUCGCAUUUCAUUCAUUCUUCCAACGUACGUCCCUGUUUAUUUAAAAAUGUGACUGUAACCAUAACAUGCUUGCCGACUUAUGUCUUUAUUUUGUAGUGGCUGCCCAUAGCCAUAUUUGUUUUGUAGAUAUCUUUUUUUUCUAAUUUUAAUGAACUCUACUUUUUUGCAC